UACGUAGGUGGCAAGCGUUAUCCGGAAUUAUUGGGCGUAAAGCGCGCGUAGGCGGUUUUUUAAGUCUGAUGUGAAAGCCCACGGCUCAACCGUGGAGGGUCAUUGGAAACUGGAAAACUUGAGUGCGGAAGAGGAAAGUGGAAUUCCAUGUGUAGCGGUGAAAUGCGCAGAGAUAUGGAGGAACACCAGUGGCGAAGGCGACUUUCUGGUCUGUAACUGACGCUGAUGUGCGAAAGCGUGGGGAUCAAACAGG
rnacentral:rRNA from 1 species